GGCAGGACCAGGAAUCGCCUGUUGUUUACCAAAUGGGUUAUCAUGUUGGGCUUAAAGGCCAAUAUACUGCGAGCAAAGACGAGAAGUACUUUAUACACAAUCAUCUAGCAUUUACAGUCAGGUAUCAUAAAGACAUGCAAACUGAUUCUGCGAGAAUCGUGGGAUUUGAGGUCAAACCAUUCAGCGUCAAGCAUGAAUACGAAGGGAACUGGAAUGAUAAGAAUACUCGUCUUACAACCUGCGACCCA
rnacentral:misc_RNA from 1 species